rnacentral:rRNA from 1 species
CAGCAGCCGCGGUAAUACGUAACCCGUAAGUGGUGUCCAUUCAUAUUGGGCCUAAAACGCCUGUAGCCGGUUCAGUAAGUCUUUUGUGAAAUCAACCAGCUUAACUGGUUGAAUUGCCAAAGAAACUGCUGGGCUAGAGGCCGGGAGAGGUAAGGGGUAUUUCAGGGGUAGCGGUGAAAUGUUAUGAUCCUUGAAAGACCACCAGUAGCGAAAGCGCCUUACCAGAACGGACCUGACGGUGAGAGACGAAAGCUGGGGGAGCGACCCGGAUUAGAUACCCGGUUAGUCCCAGCCGUAAACGGUGUGAACUAGGUGUCCUGCUGCCUAAGAGGCAUUGGGGCGCCGUAGCGAAGGCGUUAAGUUCACUGCCUGGGAAGUAUGGCCGCAAGGCUGAAACUUAAUGGAAUUGGCGGGGGCGCACUACAAGGGGUGGAGGCUGCGGUUCAAUUGGAUACAACCCCAGACAGCUUACCAGGGACGACAGCAGAAUGACGGCCGGUCUGAAGGGCUUGCCUGACGCGCUGAGAGGUGUUGUAUGGUCAUCGUCAGCUCGUACUAUGAAGCGUCCUGUUAACUCAGGCAACGGGCGAGACCCGCGUCAUUAGUUGCUAUUCAUCUGUUUGGAUGGAGCACUCUAAUGAGACUGCAAGCGUAAGCUUGAGGAAGGAGCGGGCGACGGUAGAUCUGUAUGGCCCGAACUUCCUGGGCAACACGCGGCCUACAAUGGUUGAGACAAUGGGCUCCUAACCCGAAAGGGCGAGGUAAUCCCCUAAACUUAACCGAAGUUCGGAUUGAGGGCUGAAACCCGCCCUCAUGAAUGCAUGGAAUCCCCAGUAAUCGCGCGUCAUUAUCGCGCGGUGAAUAAGUCCCUUCCCCUUGCACAC